AAGUCGAACGCAGUAGCAAUACUGAGUGGCGAACGGGUGAGUAUAAUGUAGGUAUCUGCCCUUUGGUUUGGAAUAACACGAGGAAACUUGUGCUAAUACCGGAUAAGCCUUCACAGGGAAAGCUUUAGCGCCAAAGGAUGAGCCUGCACUUGAUUAGCUAGUUGGUAAGGUAAUGGCUUACCAAGGCUACGAUCAAUAGCUGAUCUGAGAGGAUGAUCAGCCACAUUGGGACUGAGACACGGCCCAGACUCCUACGGGAGGCAGCAGUGGGGAAUCUUGCACAAUGGGGGAAACCCUGAUGCAGCGAUGCCGCGUGAGUGAAGAAGGCCUUUGGGUUGUAAAGCUCUUUCGUCGGGGAAGAAAAUGACUGUACCCGAAUAAGAAGGUCCGGCUAACUUCGUGCCAGCAGCCGCGGUAAUACGAAGGGACCUAGCGUAGUUCGGAAUUACUGGGCUUAAAGAGCUCGUAGGUGGUUAGAAAAGUUAGUGGUGAAAUCCCAAGGCUUAACCUUGGAACUGCCACUAAAACUUUUUAACUAGAGUAUGAUAGAGGUAAGCGGAAUUUCUAGUGUAGAGGUGAAAUUCGUAGAUAUUAGAAAGAACACCAAUUGCGAAGGCAGCUUUCUGGAUCAUUACUGACACUGAGGAGCGAAAGCAUGGGUAGCGAAGAGGAUUAGAUACCCUCGUAGUCCAUGCCGUAAACGAUGUGUGCUAGACGUUGGAAAUUUAUUUUUCAGUGUCGCAGCAAAAGCGUUAAGCACACCGCCUGGGGAGUACGACCGCAAGGUUAAAACUCAAAUGAAUUGACGGGGACCCGCACAAGUAGUGG
rnacentral:rRNA from 1 species